AGCGAAAUACGUGGGGAUUGGGAAAAGUCCCAAAUUUUGGGGCGUCCCAAGUUGGGGGUGGCAUUAAUUAUGUAAGUAAAUAUGUCACCGUCAGGAACACUCAAAUAUGCAAGUCCGAUUUGCUUUGUGUCAUGAUUUUGUGUCAUCAAUGUGCUGCCAGCCACAAUUCAGUGCUCUGGAUGCUAGUAUCAUAGGCAAACGCAUGUGGUUGCCACAAAAGUAUGUAUGUAUUGUUAUUGUAUUUAUGGUUUCCAUGAAGUCACACACACUGGAAUGUAAAACAAAUGAACUGCUUUGUGGGCAAAUCCGCGUAUAACCAGUCAUCGUAACCAGAAAGCACCACAUUACUUUCAAUAAAUACAUUUAAAUAAACCACGUUACAGUUAGCAUAAAAUUAUGGGGAUGAAAAUAACUUGGUGAAGGGAAAUCAGUUCCUACAACAAACCACACACAUUUGUUUUCUCAGUAAGAAUUUUAGUUAUUGCUGGGGGCUGCAGGGAGUGUUGAGUUCUUGUCAUCAAGCGUGGCGUUCUGAAAUUAACCCUUCUGGGAGCAGAAACUGACUCUGAGCACUCUUAAUUGAACUUAACCAAACUGAAGUAGACUACAUUAUUUGCAUGCUGUAUUCAAUCUUCUCGAGACCGUUAUGUAUAUAGCACAGCACAAAGUAAUGCAUUCUGGUGUACAAUGUGGUUGAAGAAGAUCUUCCAGUGCUUGAGAUGUGUUGAGCCAGGCUGGCAAUGUAGCAUAGCCACGAUGUUCCUAAAAGCUCCCCAAUACCCAGAAUUUAAAUUUAGGGAAGUAGAUUCUCCAAAUAUUCCCUAGAAUAUUCCCCCACAAGAAUUUCUGGCUGCACCACCUAAGUAUAACAUUGUAUGACAGACCCAAUAUUCCGUGAAUAUAGCCUGUGCCUACAGAGGGUUCAUUACUCAUUUCCCAUAGUUUCAAAUUUUUUCAGGUUCUCAGUAAGAGAGUACCGCUAUGAGAGUACCAUUGUGGAAUAUUUCGUUUGAGAAUUGUUCAUUGAUACCCCUUGUGUUUGUCUGUGCCAAAGCUGAUGUAAGUCAAUUUAUGUGCAUCGAUGUUACAGGUGGUCAUGUGUUUCUUUUUCACUAAUCUAAUAUGCCUAUGAAGAGCAAGUGCACUAUAAUGUUUAGGAGGCCUCCCUCUGUAUCUUUUGGUGCCACUGUCAACAGAUGUUAGUUUUUCUUUAGUGAGUUAAAGUCAGCAAUAAGACUUGCUGAUUGUGUCUGCUUUUUGUAUAGCCACUCGGAGCAUGCAUGUAGCAGUGUGGUUGAUGUGUUUCCCUUUUGUUGGUGUUAUCUUAUGCUUUCUACACACACAAGUGUGUUUGAUGUCCUUUCUCCUCUGAUCUGCACUCACUCAAGUGACUCUGUGUGCCUUGUGUUUGUCAUUAUAAACUUGUCCUUGUUUGUGUGUUACGUACAAAGUUUCACAACGCAGAGUACCAUUCAUAUUUACAAGAUUGUGUAAUAUAUGGGAUGUGAGUGAGGUAUAUAAGUUAUAAACGUUGGCAUGUUAGAGUAUCAGUAAUAAAUGCUUGCUGUGUAAAUUCCUUGUUCUUCUUUAUGUUGAAGGGGCUUUGGUGCAUGAAAGAAAGCUUUAGAAGGGUUUUCACGUACAGUCUUGAAACAGAGCUUCACUAUGUAACAUGCUGAAGUCCAGCCAUUGACCCCUGGCAGCGAAACUCUCUAAUCAUCAUCAUUAAAAUUUUUUUUUUCAACCACUGACCAGAAUGAUACUGUUAUUGGUCCUGAUUUGUGGCAAGCACGGGGCGUACGCCCUUUUGCUGCAAUUAUCGCAACUGCGCAAGUGUCGCAAAAAAGGAAUACGCCCCCUGUCUUCAACAAAUCAGGGUAGAGAACAGUGUCAUUCGGGAUUAUUGCUGGCUAUAGGAGUGCGUUAUGCGGUGAAGUACUGUUUUAAGAGCAUAAUAGUACAUACAGGAAAUUACAAUGCAGAGAUGCGGUAUUGUUAAUGUAAACUUCACGAGCACCUUUACUGAUGAAGGCAAGUUCACAUGAGGAAAUUCUGCUCAAGAGCAUUCUCAUUAUCAACUAUUGUUGCACGUUGGUUAUGUCUGCAUUAAAUGUUUUGGUUUCAGAAACUUAACACACAUAGGAAAUGAUAGUUUACCAUUUUACGUUGCAUUUACGUUUACCAUUUAUACACACUCUAAAAACAGAACUCCACCACAUAGCACGUUCUGUGCCAAAAAUUGCUACGAAUUAUAGGGCUAUCGCUUCUGAUUUGAGGAGAGAGGGAGGCGUACGCCCUUAUGUGUAAAUUAUAUAUCCAAAUUGACCCAAAAAGGCGUACGCCCCCCCCCUCUCUUCGAGUCGGAACUGAUAACCCUAUCAUGGCAAUGGUUCGCGCAGAGCGUGCUAUGUGGUAGAGUUCCGUUUUUGAGAGUGCAUCCGCAACAUGCAGACCAAAAAGCACCUUCCCAGGUAUUUUAGACGAGGAACUAAUUUCUUGCGUGAACUUCCUUGCAGAUCUACCAGCUGAUGCCCUUCUCGAAGGUCAUUUACUGUUCAGCUGCGAUGCCGAAGACGUGCCUUGGGACGACACGAGAUAUGCUCCCAAGCGAUACCAGUGCAACUACUGCACCUACCAGUCGAUCAACAGGAGCGACGUCCGAAAGCACGAAAUGACGCACACUGGGGAGAAACCAUUCAUGUGCUCUGUCUGCUCAAAGACAUUUCGGCAGAGGCAACACCUGCAUCGUCACAUGAUGGUCCAUGUGGGAUAGAGGCUGCAAGUGCACUUCUUUAAAAGGGUCGUGGGCACUGUAGCUGUGACGUCGCAGCAGGCGUCUUUGCCGUACUUCGAGAAAAGUCAACUCCCGCAGGCCAAAUCCGCCCACGCGUAUGAGGAUGUCCGCGAUUGGCUUAGGCGGGUGCUUCGAACUGUUGUUUUUAUACUGAUCGUGUUGCAAAGACACACAUAUCGCACACGACGUACCGUAAUUUUGCACGUAUUAGCCGCAACUUAUGCGCGAUUUGUUUUUCUCAUGGGUGCUCUGCGGCUUAUUUGAUGACUGUUUUUCCCUGUUAUUUUCCCUAUGUGCCGGUUUUAGCAAAAGGGCUGACAAGGGCUGUCUCUGUAACAGCACCGCCCUGCCACUACACAAACAAUGCGUAACGGGGGCACGUCCACAUUGGAGUAGAGUGACCUUCCUGGUGCCUUCCCCCAAGCAGCUUUAACGAAAGUGGUGACAGUGAUUCAUGUCUUCUGGAAGGCUACUGACCCGUCGAUCCAUGAAAAACACACGAGGGCACAAUCCGAUCUUGGUAGAACACUAGAACUGACCUCAUUUGUUGUACACCAUGCAAAACCCGGAGUAUGGACCACAGGGUUUAUGGCCCUCUCUAUGAUUCUCCUUUGUCACACAAAUCAGUCGUGUCGUGUUGCCCGCGGCUUAUCUGCCCCAAAAUUUUCGAAACGUUUCUAAAAAUGGGUCCUGCGGCCCAUCUGCGGUGUGGCUAGUACGCGUGAAAUUACGGUACUUUUAGAGCACAUUUACAUGCUUUUAAAGCAAACACACGAAAUAUUGGCGUAAUCACCAAAAAUGUUAAUCGACUUUCCUGUCCGCUUGGUCUCCACCACCUUCUUGUGUGCCUCACUCUCAAUGUGCAGACUACUUUCUUCUGGUGAAAAUACAGCUCUGUGCCUGCA